GACGAACGCUGGCGGCGUGCCUAAUACAUGCAAGUCGAGCGAAUCGAUGGGAGCUUGCUCCCUGAGAUUAGCGGCGGACGGGUGAGUAACACGUGGGCAACCUGCCUAUAAGACUGGGAUAACUUCGGGAAACCGGAGCUAACACCGGAUACGUUCUUUUCUCGCAUGAGAGAAGAUGGAAAGACGGUUUACGCUGUCACUUAUAGAUGGGCCCGCGGCGCAUUAGCUAGUUGGUGAGGUAAUGGCUCACCAAGGCGACGAUGCGUAGCCGACCUGAGAGGGUGAUCGGCCACACUGGAACUGAGACACGGCCCAG
rnacentral:rRNA from 1 species